rfam:Gossypium raimondii Chr09_contig_1484, whole genome shotgun sequence.
AGACCAUGAUGAGGGCAUCUUUGUAUAAGAAACUUAAACCGCUCCCAUGGUUUGUAAAAAUUUGCUCCUUCCAUUUGCUUGAAAUUUGUAAUGUCUCUCCUUAGUUG